GUGGGGAAUCUUAGACAAUGGGCGCAAGCCUGAUCUAGCCAUGCCGCGUGAGCGAUGAAGGCCUUAGGGUUGUAAAGCUCUUUCAGCUGGGAAGAUAAUGACGGUACCAGCAGAAGAAGCCCCGGCUAACUCCGUGCCAGCAGCCGCGGUAAUACGAAGGUCCCGAGCGUUGUUCGGAAUCACUGGGCGUAAAGCGCACGUAGGCGGAACAGAAAGUCAGAGGUGAAAUCCCAGGGCUCAACCUUGGAACUGCCUUUGAAACUCCUGUUCUUGAGUUCGAGAGAGGUGAGUGGAAUUCCGAGUGUAGAGGUGAAAUUCGUAGAUAUUCGGAGGAACACCAGUGGCGAAGGCGGCUCACUGGCUCGAUACUGACGCUGAGGUGCGAAAGCGUGGGGAGCAAACAGGAUUAGAAACCCGAGUAGUCC
rnacentral:rRNA from 1 species